AUCAAUGUGGCGUAGUGGUUUGAGUGUUGGACUAGCACUCUGGAGAUUAGGGUUCGAAUCCCCACUUGGUCA